CUGAAGAGGCGAUGAUGUCACAAUAGUGUUCAUUGGGUGAUUGGUGUGUGCUAGGCCCUGCUCUCUGUGUGGUAUUUGCUCCUUCAUAUUGUGACUAGCACCUUUUUACAGAUGUGGAAACUGAGGCCACCUCCACUCGAACAUAGGCACACAGCCCCGACAAGUCUGUCCCUGCCUGGAACGCCAGGCCUCAUUAUGUCAUCCAGGAUAACCUUGAACUCACUGUGUAGUCCAGGCUGGCCUUGGACUCCUGAUCCUCCUGCCUCAGCCUCUUGAGUGCUGGGGAUUUCAUUGUAUCACAUGCCUGGCUAUCACACAAGGAAUAUUGAUCUCAGCAUUACUCUAUUAAUGAAAUAUGAUGGCAAUAAGCAGAGACACGCACCUCUACCCCCCUGGGAGCUUAAUCUUCUGCUACAACAUUUGCAUUUGUAUGAAAAUGGAGGUGCUAAAAGACAGAAGUAACUGUUGAAAGUCACAAAACUGAUGAAAUAUAAGGCGAAGAGAGAAGUGCUGCGUGUGAUCUGCGCCUGCCUCGUCCAGGCCCUGGUGGGUGGUGGCAGUGUUUAACCCCGAAGGCCUGGGCCACCUCCUCUGAGCAGGAAGAGAUUGAGUCUCUCAAGAUUUUUUUAUUUCUCAGAAGGGAAGAUUAUUCUUUAUUCUUCUGUCCUGGGUGAAGAAAAGCCAGAAUUUGCUACCUUGGAGACAAUUAGUAUAAACAAGAGCAUCAUCAGCACGCUCAGUGCAUCGGAUCAGACCGUGGAGCUGUUGACAGAAGCUUGGCGAGGCUUGCCAGCUUUCCACAUGAAGCGCUGGCUUUCUUCUCCUACACCCCCUACCGCUUGUGUCUCUGCCAAUUGUAGCACAUCAGAGCGGCCAUUGAGAUAAUGACCGUGAAGUCUCAUGAUACACUUUGAUGAAGUGUAACAUUUUUUAAAGGAUUUUUGUCUGUGCCAAAAUGAUCGAGGCAGCUGACUAAAAAUCCCCCCAUCGAAAUCAAGGCUGAUGAACAGCGGGUAGAGGGAAGAGCCUCCCAGGGAAGAUGGGGUGGUUCGCAGCCUGCCAGUCUCGUCUGCGUUUGUGUGCACCACAGCUUCCUUUCCUUAAAAAGGUGUCUUUUGCUUUAGAUGAACCAGUGUCAGUUGCUGAUACCUCGACUUCCAGCACUUCACAUUAUUUCUAUGGGAUCCCAGAAAAUGUGGGGGACUGAGUCCUCUCUGGCGGUGCUCACUAAUGACUGAUAAAAUACAUUGUUAAUAACUUGCUAUUAAUUGGGGAAAGCAUGCUGGGCACUUCACAGGUUUUCAGGCAGAGACUAACCCUAGACUAAUGUGCAGGCAGCUUCGGAUUCUCUAGUUUGGCUAGGAUCAAGAGAAGGUUACACCAAAGCGGUUCUGAGCCAGUGGAAAUCAAAAUCAAGCUGCUAACAACAUCACGAAACUGACGGGCUUCUUUGGGAAGGAAAUCAUGUGUUUGACUUACUGCCUGAGCUGUCGUGACUACCAUUUCUGAGCACCUGCUGUAACGGGAUAGCACUGGGUGAGUUUGAUGUUCAGAGUCCCUGCCUCUCACAGCAGCUCACACAGGCAAGCAAUCCAAGGCCCAGAGGAGGAUGGCGAGAGCUGGAGAAGCUAAGCAACUUGGCCAAAGCCAAAGAGCCGGAAAGUAAGGCAGAAUCUGACUGUGCGCUCGCCGAGGGGAUGCUUCUUGAUGCCCGCUCAGCUGGAGAAGAGAAGACAAUUUUUGGUUGAGUUAAUAAAGGCAGGAGAACAAUGGACUUGCAGUUUGCCAUUCUUCUCCAACUUUGCUAGGAAGACCUUAGCUGCGAGGCAUCCUCUCCUGUACGUUAACAAACCUGUGCUCAGGAACUGAGUGUUUGAAAGUGUGAGAGGAGCUGCAGCUAGCCUGUCUCCAUCUGUGCGUUCUCCCCUUGCUCCUGUGAAAGCUCAGCAUGGGCCUCACUCUCAGGAGGACGUGGGUGCUGUAAAGUCUAGGACUUCUCAGGAUGGCAGCACAGAGGACAACUGUGCAUAAUUUCAGAGUAUCUCCAUUUUGCCAUUGUCACAGAACGUGCUGUAAUUUCCAUACGCCUGCCAUGCAUGUCUGCAUGAGUCCAUCUUUGUCCAGUGCGUGGAGCCUGCCAAGACUUUUUCCUGCUUGAGGAAUGGCUGAGGUGAGCAGACAGCCAAGUGCAGUGGCCACGGUGACAGCAGGCAAAGGGCCAGUGCUGCCAGCCUGGGCUCCUCCUUCCGUUUAUCGUCUUGUUGAGUGGAAGACAUUUGCCAGGAGGAAAACCCACACAUUCCAGGUAUAAUUGAUAGGGUGCUGUCAAGCAGAUGGUAUAAGUGGUUUAUUUUGAAGGAGGUUAUUACUGGCCACAAAACUACAAGUCAGCCAUUUGCAGGGAACCCUUAUAAAGGAAGCCCCUGUUUAUGGCGUCCACUCUCAAAAGCAUGGGACAGAGGUCUUACUGUACUUCUGCACCCAGCCACAUUUAAUCCCUUCAUAAGACCCCUUUGUAUGAGAGGCCACAGGAGAGGAAACUAACAUAGCACAUUGCAAACAGCUUUGAAGAAUGUCUUCUAUAAAGUCGUGCAGUUCUGAGAACAAAAUGGGGUCCCUCACAGUGUUAUGACUUGAGGUCUCCAGUGUGAGAAGUUUCCAGCAAGUUAUGAUAUGAAAAGCCUGAGGUUUUACUCUCACUAAGCCGUGGCAGACGAAAGCCAUUAAACUAUUUAUUCACUUAGCCUCCUCCUGUAAAUACAAGUACAUUAGAGAGAAACAGGUCCAAGCUUGGGGAAAUGAGUAGGUAACUCAUCAAAGCCAGGCAACGAGAAGCUGAAAACUCACGAUUACAGUAGGUGCGACAUGAGCAACAGAGAGGGCGAUGUGUCUCAUGGGGAAGGAGAUGCUCUGACCCAGGUGAAUUUUAGAUUUUCAAUUUCUGGGGAUGAGAAUAAAGGUUUUAACUUUAAAAACUGACCUGCCAACUUUUUUGCUUUUUGUUUUGUAUCUAGGACAUUGAGAAAAAAAUGACUAUUAUUUUCAACUUCAUCAUCUCAUAACACAGAGGACAAUAGGACAACAUGACAUUAAGAAAUAAGGCAGAAUCUCACAAAGAACUUUCUUGCUUGCUUGCUUGCUUUGAUGGUGUUGAGGAUCAGAUCUAGGGCUUACAUAAUAGGCAAAUGCUCUAAAAUUAGGCUAUAUCUCUAAGAUCUUUACUUUUCUAAUUUUUUUUUUUUUUUUUUAAUGUACUGGGGAUUGACUCCAGGGCCUUCCUACUAAGCUACA